rnacentral:rRNA from 1 species
CAUGCAAGUCGAACGAGAGAAGAGAAGCUUGCUUUUCUGAUCUAGUGGCGGACGGGUGAGUAACACGUGAGCAAUCUGCCUUUCAGAGGGGGAUACCGAUUGGAAACGAUCGUUAAUACCGCAUAAUAUAAUUGAACCGCAUGAUUUGAUUAUCAAAGAUUUAUCGCUGAAAGAUGAGCUCGCGUCUGAUUAGCUAGUUGGUAAGGUAACGGCUUACCAAGGCGACGAUCAGUAGCCGGACUGAGAGGUUGAUCGGCCACAUUGGGACUGAGACACGGCCCAGACUCCUACGGGAGGCAGCAGUGGGGAAUAUUGCACAAUGGAGGAAACUCUGAUGCAGCGAUGCCGCGUGAGGGAAGAAGGUUUUAGGAUUGUAAACCUCUGUCUUCAGGGACGAAAAAUGACGGUACCUGAGGAGGAAGCUCCGGCUAACUACGUGCC